CUCCACGCUUAAUUAAAAAAAACACGAAACGAAGUUGAACGGACCUUUCGUAGUUUUCAUUUACUUUGCACAGAAAAGGUGUAAACGAAAUUAAAAAGAACCAAAAUAUUUGCAAUUGCGUUUCAAAAACUAUUGCUCAUGUGUAAAUUAUAAUCCUAAAAAGUAAUACAGAUGAAAACCUACAUUGCAAUGCAAAUAAAAACUUAGGUAUAUUUUACCCUUAUUUAAACAAAACGUACGAGCCGUGUAUUCCUACGAAUGUUUUUGUUGUUGAAAAAAAGACGUGAUCGUCGUAAACAUCAUUGAAACACAUAUUCAAACAUCAUCUAAAACAAGAACUUGACAAGGCAAGAGGUUUUCUUUACAUAUUUUGCGCAAUUUAUAUGCUUUUUUAUCACCAAUGAAAAAGUUUCAUGAAAUGAAAAAGAAACCUGCAGCUGCAUUUAGUUUGUGGAACUAGUGAAUAACUCCAGCAUAGUUUAUUCUCGCCCUGAUUAUCGCAAUGUUUUUGGAUCUCGAUUUCAACAAAUCAUUUGAAUGGUAAUUCAAGGGAACGAACUGUGGCAGUGUGGCAGGAACGAGCGAAACAAUGAGAUGAAUCAGGCCAGGUUGAAACAGGAGUCAUGGCAAGAGGUUUCAGAACCAUUGAAGAAAACGCUGUUCUUGGAUCCAGCAUGUUUACUAAGCUGCAAACGACGGUUAAAUAGGUGAAAUCCUGAACAAGGUUCUACUGGAUUUAUCAAGAUUCUUUGGUCAACUAGCUUCGAAAAUGCAACAUGAAUUAGCGCAGAUCGUACUGAGUCGAUCAGCUGUUGCCAGAACAGUUGUUCUGUGGUAUAUUCUAAAUGACUUUUUUGUGUAAAAACCUGUUUGUGAGUCUGAUAAUUAGAUAUUGUAGCAUACAGAUGUAAUUGAUGGAUACAAUUUCAGAUUAAAUUCAUUUUUAUUGAACUAAA